UGACAGUUAACCCACGUCUGCGACCUUCAGAGAACUGCUGUGACUUGCAAGGGAGGGACUGGGGAUUCAGAACUCUGGUGGUGGGCACAAUAUGGAAUUAUAUCCCUGUUCACAUGGAAUUUUGUAAAUCAAUAUUAAGUCAUUAAUUUUUUUUUUAAAAAGGAAAGAUUAAAAAAAGAGAGAGAGAGAAAUUGCAGCUGCCAGUUUGGGUGACCAGACAUUUUCUCUGCAAGGUUUUCUGUUCUGCUUUAGAACCACGGUCUGUCCAGCUAGCACAGUUGAACUUGCUUUGCUUCAACUGACUACCUUUCCCAAACUGUACUGGAGUUUCUGAAAAGAGAUCUCUUCACACCACUGCAUUUUCUACUUUCACUGUCAAUUAGUAAUGGCUGCCAAAGUUGGGCAGGGCAGAAGAAUUGGAGCACUGCCCUUGAGAAAAAUGCCAUGAUAAAAUAUUACCAGAGGAGCAUAUGUCAUCAAAGAUAACAAGAUAAGAAAAAGCAGUUUUUCUCCCAGCAAAAACAUAUGUUCCAAGCACCCUGCACAGUGCCUUUCCUAACACAGAGUGUGGCCUUGCAUCCAUCUUCUGCAGAGCCAAGCAUUCCUGCCACAUCCCAGGCUAGGUCGGGGACCCCAGUGUGGGAUGAUAAAAAGCCAGCGGAGAGCCCAGUGCUGCCACUUCCCACAAAGUGCUUGGGUCUAGUCCCAGAGGACCCCGGUUACAAGGCUCAUCCUGAGAUCUGAAUUGUCAUACUGUACUGUGUCUAUUGUCCUGUUUGUUAUUUACUGUUGGUUCUUAUUAAGAUCACUGUUAUUAUCGACAGACAGCAGACUUGAGCCGCCAGCCAUGGGAGGGAUGUUUUAAUAUGCCCGAAGAACAAAAGAUCUCAAUGGGGGACUUCCAGGUGAGAGACAAGCUAUGGUACUGCACAGGCCUGAACAAUGGGGACGGAUGCAGGGGAGUCAUACACAGAGGUUUAGGUGAUUACUGAAAGAGGAAAUGCUUUGAAGAACAGGUGGGCAUGGCAGAGGGUUUUGAAAAUGGAGAAGGAUGUUAAUGCUAUUGCAAACAUGUUAUUGUUUGAGCUUAAUGGAUGAUUCAACAGCACACUGAAGAAGAAAAAGAAGAAAAAAAAAAGGCAUACACACUCCUUGGACCUAAAAUUCUAAGAGGAACCAAAAGAUAUAAAAGGCAUUUGGCCACCAGGUUCCAGAUGUUACCAUGUUGCCAACCCAACUUCCCUGGGCAGAAAAUCCCACCAAUGUGUCCUGGAGCCCUGAUUCCCCCAAACCCUGCACCACUACGGAAAGAGAGAGACAGGCUGGACAAUGCCCAUGUCCAGCAGAGAGGCACUUACAGAAGUCAGACCUUCCAUCUUUGCACCCCAUAUGAUCCUCAGUCCACGCUCCCAGAGGGAUAAAGAACAGGAAAGCUUCCAAGGAAGAAGAUGUGAUACAGAACUCUGGUGGUGGAAACUGUCUGGAAUUAUACCCCUCUGAUCCCACGAUCUUGUUGAUCAUUAUUAACUCGCUAAUGAAACAAUAGAGAAUCAGCUCCCCAUCAUGUCAGCCACUAGGAUCAUCUGACCUCAACUCAUUUGACUGUCUCACCAUCUGAAACUCAGCCAAGUUCUUGUCCCCAGAGACUUCUGAAUGCCCUUGACUACUUGCAGGUGCAGAAGGCCAAGGAACCCCUGCGAACAUAUGGGAAACUUCUAAUGGAGUUCAGAUCUCAUGAGCCCAUGUAUCUUGACAGUAUAAUUCACCAUUAAAAAAUUUAAAAAUUCACCAUUCUCUUUCUCUCCCUUUAAACUCCUUGAAUGCAGAGCCAUUUAUUCUCCAAUUAUAAUACAGUUCCCAGGUUUUUACCUGACUUUUGAUGCUGGCAGAAUAUGUGUGCAAAACACUCUGAGGACAUAGUUUACCAACUAAGUAAAAGGAAAAAUACUGAGUACAAGUUAUGGAGAACAAAGUACACCUUAAAUUGAUACUUAAAUUCUUUAGAAUUAACUUCAAAGCUAUAUAUCUAUCUAUUGACAGUGGUGUGAAUGAUGCUUUAGGAUGACUAAUCAGAUAUAUAGCAGCGUGAGAUCUCAUUGAGGAAAGAAAGCCCAAGAUAAUUACAGAAGUUAAUGUGUGCCUUAAGUGCAAAUGUGAAUAUGCAAAUGAAAGAAAAAUGAGGAGGAAGGAAGAAGUGAUAUUGCUCAGGAAAUAUCAAAAUGUUCCUGCAUUUUGGUUGUUUCAGGCAAGAGAGCACAGCUGUUUGUUGUAUGUUACUUCCUCUCUGUUGGAAGUCAGAGUACUUUCUUUCUUUUUUAAAAUUUAUAUUUCUUUAUUUUCCCUUUUGCUGCCCUUGUUGUUUUUCAUUGUUGUUGUAGUUAUUGUUGUUGUUAUUAAUGUCGUUGUUGUUGGGUAGGACAGAGAGAAAUGGAGAGAGGAGGGGAAGACAGAGAGGGGGAGAGAAAGACAGACACCUGCAGACCUGCUUCACUGCCUGUGAAGCGACUCCCCUGCAGGUGGGGAGCCGGGGGCUUGAUCCUGGAUCCUUACUCUGGUCCUUGCGCUUUGUGUCACCUGUGCUUAACCCGCUGCGCUACCGCCCAACUCCCCUCAGAGUACUUUCUAACCUGCCUUCUAGUCUAACUUUUUUUUUCCUGCUAGCAUAACUGAAUGCUAGUCCAUUUUUCUUUCAUGCUAUAAUAGGUCACAAUGGUUAUGACUAUUUUGUCAAUUUUUUGUAGUAGCAGGUCUGUCCUAAUCUUUAGACAACUUGAUAAGCUAGAUAAAAUAUGUGGGAGAAAAAAGGCUUAUUCUUCGGUGAACAGGGUUGUGGUUAUAUAAAUGUCUUAUGAGUGACACGGGUGGGGUAUGAUUCUAUUGUCAUAUUAUCAUAUUAGGCGAAUGCUAAUCCAAAUCCUGUCAUUUUUUAUUAAAUACAUUUGAUUUGCACCUUAAGGUUUCAAAAAUUAAAAUAUCCUAUAGUAAAAAUU